rnacentral:rRNA from 1 species
GACGUAGGGCGCGAGCGUUGUCCGGGAUUUAUUGGGCGUAAAGAGCUCGUGGCGGCUCGUUGCGUUCAACCGUGAAAACCCGGGGGCUUAACUUCGGGCUUGCGGUUGAUACCGGGCGGGCUGGAGUUCGGUAGGGGAGACUGGGAAUUCCUGGUGUAGGCGGUGAAAUGCGUAGAUAUCGAAGAGGAACACCUGCGGCGA